UUAUGAUGAUGAUGAUGAUGAUGAUGAUGAUGGUGAUGCAAGCGAAUCAUAUUACACGAAGAGCCUGGGGAAGGGGGUCUUUUCCUCAUCAUCAGCUUCAUCACCAUCAUUAUCA
rnacentral:miRNA from 1 species